GUGGGGAAUAUUGGACAAUGGGCGAAAGCCUGAUCCAGCAAUGCCGCGUGUGUGAUGAAGGCCUGCGGGUUGUAAAGCACUUUCGUUGGGGAAGAAAUGCUCAAAGCUAAUACCUUUGAGAGUUGACGUUACCCAAAGAAGAAGCACCGGCUAACUCUGUGCCAGCAGCCGCGGUAAUACAGAGGGUGCAAGCGUUAAUCGGAGUUACUGGGCGUAAAGGGUGCGUAGAUGGAUAUUUAAGUCGGAUGUGAAAUCCCUGGGCUUAACCUAGGAAUUGCAUUCGAUACUGGGUAUCUGGAGUAUGGUAGAGGAAAGUGGAAUUCCCGGUGUAGCGGUGAAAUGCGUAGAUAUCGGGAAGAACAUCAAGGCGAAGGCAACUUUCUGGACCAAUACUGACAUUGAGGCACGAAAGCGUGGGGAGCAAACAGGAUUAGAAACCCCGGUAGUCC
rnacentral:rRNA from 1 species